UCCUGGUCCCAAGCUGCUUCAUUCUGGAGCCUGUUGCCUUCCUACACUACACCAUAGUGAUGUCACCUUGGUGACUAUUGCCACUGAAUAGCUCCACAUUCCACAGCUCAUGAACUGUUUUCACACUGGGGCUUUACACUCUCUUGUUGGCCUUUCUUCAAGUGCUGGCAGAGCUCACUAACUGGUUCUUAGGAAUUGGAAGAAUUCGAUGAAAGGUCCUUGCUCUGACCCACCUGCUACUUCUUCCAACUAGGAAGACCUUUCCCUUUUGCACUUCCACGUCUCACUGAUGUCCUCUUAUCCCUGGCUCAUUCCUGAACACUAGUGUCCUUUGCAUUCCUUGAACACUUUGCAUUCAAGGCUCUAGAGUUCAGGUGUUAGAACUAGCAAAGUCUUCUAAGACUGUGUGUUUGAGCUGCACAGUCAUUGCCACAUCAAGCCCUUAGCUGGUCUUCCUUCAAUCAGUAUAUCAAGCUUAAUAUGAAGAACAGGAAGAAACAAUGAACUGUGUCAACUUAGAUUGUGUUAGGAAUCAUGUCCUCACAAUGUUUGGGUGUACUUAUUUAUGAUUUGCUCAGGUUCUUAACCCACGUUUUGAGAGAGGAAGACCUAACUUAAGAGGUGGUUGGAGGCAAUGGGCCCUGAAUGUACCCCAUAACCAUAGAACACACUUUAAGAAAAUAACUCCUUAAAAUCAGAAAGUCACCACUUAGAGUCACCAAGUCAUAAAAGUUUCCAAUUGGAUGUAAGGCCAUUCACUGUCAUCAUAGGGCAGACCUGAAAGAGACGCAGUUGGUUAUCUUCACAAAUAUAAGGAAAUGGGGCCAAGAGUGAGUUAAUCAGAACAAGAAAAUGGAGCCCUAAACAAAUUGGGGGGGGGGGACAGAAGUAUGUUGAAAGCUCAGAAUAAGAGAAACUUUGGUGUAUGUAGCAACAGAGUGGCUGUAUUUGGUAUAUAAAAAUAAUUUCAGAACCCAAUAAAGACUCAUGGACCAGUAGAGAUUUUAAUAUGAGGUAACUGGAAAAGGGGCUAUAUGAUUAAUAUCUACAUGAAGAGCUGCUACAACACUGUGAAAUGCAAAUUGAAUUAGCCAGAGAGGUGGCUGAGUGGGUAAGGUCUUUUGCUACCUAUCCCAAUAAGCUAAGCUCCAUCCUUGGGACCCAUGUGGUCAAGAAAAGACCCAAUUCUGGCAACUUGCCCCAUGACCACCACAUACAUGCUGUGGCAUGAAAGAACACACACACACACACACACACAGGUACACAUACAUACACAUGCACACAUACACAAAUGUAAUAAUGCAAAACAUCUUUCAUGUGUGCCAAUUAAUUUUAAAUUGAUUGUUGUGUAUUUAUAAUAUUAACCUUAGAAAAUGUGAUUAUAAAAAUGAAAUAAAUCCCAGAACAUUU